AUGAACCAAUUAUGUUUGUGAAAGUCGGGUUCCCAUUUUACGUCCACGAAAGCGUUUGGCAACUUUGACAUACUACUUUGUACCUCUCUGUUUGCGCCUAGAUGUGCUCAGCUGACACCACAAGGUUCAUUAUUCUUUGGGGAGCAGCUAGAGUAGGCCUGUGUGGACUUCACCACAGAGUGACAUGCUUCAGGAUCCAAGUAUUUACCGCGGAUUGUUUGUCAUCAUCGCAACAUGUCUUCGACCGGAUCAGCACAAUCAAAACGCCUGAUUUCUCUACUGGGAUCGAUAGCGUUUUCGGGCGGCGUGCUGAUGCGGAGAUGAGCACAAACAUGGUGAAAGCCUACUUGGAGCACGGCCACAAUGACCUGGACACUGCCUUCAUGUACACAGAUGGACAGGCAGAAACAUUCAUUGGGGGAAUUAAUCUCCCCCCAAAAUAGUAACUAAUCCAGUUGUAAUACUGUAGGCAUAACUAAAAAUUGUAAACAAAAGUGACAUGCCAAAACACAAUGCAGUUUUCCAAUACUGUAAGUCUCAGUAUACAAUCGAAGCAAAGUAUGCUGCAGCAGCUUUUAUGUCACCAGAUUGCAUUGGCAAAUAGGCAUGUAGGCCUAACAACAGAGAACAGGAGAAGAGAAGAGUUCAACAAAUGUGUUGAGCAUUGCCACCAAGGCCAACCCCUGUGAGUGAAAGACCCUGAAACCAGACAGUGUGUGUUCACAGCUGGACCUCCCUGAAGAGGCUGCAUACUCGGUCUGUGGACAUCUUCUACCUCCACGCUCCAGACCAUCAGAACCCCAUCCAGAACACACUGCAGGCCUGCAAUGAGCUCCACAAAGAGGGGAAAUACAAGGAGCUUGGCUUAUCAAACUAUGCUGCGUGGGAAUUCGCUGAAAUCAUUACCAUCUGCAAACAAUAACUCAACAACUGGAUACUACAAACCGUUUAUCAGGUGGAAACAGAGCUGCUACCAUGUCUGAGAUACUACAGCAUCAGAUUAUAUGCAUACAACCAUCUAGCAGGGGGCCUUCUCACAAGUAAGUACCAUUAUCAGGACAAAGAUGGUUCGCAGCCUUCAGGAUGCUUCUUUGGUAACAUCUGGGUAGAGAUAGGUGAGAUGACAACAGAAUAACAUUUUAUUAAUAACAUAGUAUAGUAACAGUAGUUACUCACAAUGAAAACAUUAUUUGUCCAGAUUACCUUUACACUAGAUAAUAUAAAACAUUACCUUUGGAUGAUUCAUGUGUUGUAUGUAAGGAAAGCCACUUCCACGCUACAGACCUUGUUCGGAAGGCACUGGAGACGGUGUAUGGCUCAGACAAACCCACUAUGACAUCUGCUGCUCUACACUGGAUGUACCACCACUCCCACCUCAAGGUAACAAGCCACAUGCAACAAGAACAGGGACAACCCACUAUCAGCUAGGUCACUUUGAUUUUAAAGCUACAAUAUGUAACUUUUUGGGCGACCAAACCAAAAGUUAUAGAUCUGUCAUUCCCAUUGAAAGCAAGUCUAAGAAGCAGAUCUGUUCUAUGUGCGCCAUUUCUAUGCUUCCCGUUCUUACGUUUAUUUUUUGUAGUCUAUUACUUGUAGUUUUGCACACCAGCAUCAAACAGCUAAAAAUACAAUAUGUUUGGUUAUGGAAAAUAUAUUUCACAGCAGUUUAGAUGGUACAAUGAUUCUCUACACAAUGACUGCUUUUUUUUGUCACAAACUGAAAUUAGGCUAUUACAAUUUUAUCAACCAGGAAAUGUCAGAACGAUUUCUACAUAUUCCACCUUUAAAUGAAAUAAAUCACUUUUUCACAAUAAGUUGAACAUGACAAUUGCCACUCAAUGUUAGCAGUACUAUUUACAAUUAUCAACAUAAUGUUUAGUUAGUGUGGUGUACGUAGUGCUAAUGGUUGGGUCCUCUUGUACCUCUAGAUGAGCGGGUGGUGGAGGCCUUCAAACAGGUCUGGGACCUGGAGGCUGACAAUGGCCCCAAUUACUUCCGCUAGAUGUCUCAACAACCCUCGUUCAUCUGAUUGACUAUAUCGACAUUUUCCACUAACCGUUGCAAAUUUUCCUCAUUUUCUUUAUAACAAUUGGCUAAUUAACUAACAUGUACAGUGAGAUCUAUUACAAAUAAAUCAGUUUGGUUAUCA